rnacentral:tRNA from 1 species
GGGCCGGUAGCUCAGCCUGGCUAGAGCGCUUGACUUUUAAUCAAGCGGUCGCGAGUUCGAAGCAGAAAUCAUCAUCGGAAGGGUGGUAGCGAAAGUCUCGUCCGGCCCA